GGGUCAGUGCCCGAGCGGCCAAAGGGAGCAGACUGUAAAUCUGCCGGCACAGCCUUCGGAGGUUCGAAUCCUCCCUGGCCCACCA
rnacentral:tRNA from 1 species